GACGUAGGGCGCGAGCGUUGUCCGGAUUUAUUGGGCGUAAAGGGCUCGUAGGCGGUUUGUCGCGUCGGGAGUGAAAACCAGGUGCUUAACACCUGGCUUGCUUUCGAUACGGGCAGACUAGAGGUAUGCAGGGGAGAACGGAAUUCCUGGUGUAGCGGUGAAAUGCGCAGAUAUCAGGAGGAACACCGGUGGCGAAGGCGGUUCUCUGGGCAUUACCUGACGCUGAGGAGCGAAAGUGUGGGGAGCGAACAGG
rnacentral:rRNA from 1 species